rnacentral:lncRNA from 1 species
GCGAAGGAGUGUAUCUAUGUGGAACCGGACAGGCAAGGUGAGAAGAAAGGUGUGUUCUGGUACAACAAUAAGUUAUGAGGAUAUGAUGAUGGUGAAAGAACAAAGAAGAUAUUGUCACGAACCUUUCUCUUGCUGUCUCUGGUCGUCUUUGUUUUAAGAAGCUAUGUUUUCGUUUCAAUAAUCUUAACUAUCCAUUUUGUUGUGUUUUCUGACAUUUUGGCUAAGUUAUGUGAUGUGGGACACGUUAGUGUCUAAAAUGUCUCUGUGUCUGUAUUGUUCUUCUCAUCUGUGACUUUCGGACAACUAAACUCUUGUUCUCGAACUACCUCAAUGUGGCAUUAAUGAAAGUGUUAUUGUUGAUUUUAAUCUGAAACUGCUAUUAUUUAGUGAAUUUUUACAUCAGCCAACUUGUUUGUUUAAGACCUACCAAUGGUAUAAGAAGGUUUGUGUACUAAUGUUCACCAUGUCCAUAGUGUUAAGACAUAACCAUGAUCUUCUGUCCAAUUAAUUUGCGUCGAGUUAUCGUGUUAUUUGGCACCUUUACUAUGUUUUUUUGUAAAGAACUCCUUACAGAAUAGCUUUUUGUAAAGAACUACGUUUUAUCUUUUUGUAAGAACCUUUUAACAAAAGCCAAAUUCAUUAUUACCUGGCACAAGAAAAAACUCUGGUUUCUUCCUCUUUCUCUGUUUUUAGAUUUGAGGAGGAACAUGAAGAUGAAGAAAAAGAAACAAAUAAAUAACAAAUCUCUUUUUUUCCAUUAACGGCAGAAACACCAAAACAGAGUGACAACAAGAAACAAAUGUAGUGAGGAAAAACCAAAGAAAAAAGAAUAUUCUGAAACCAACUCGUUGAACAUAUUCAAAUACGAAACAAUCUUUCAUCCAACGGCGAGCGUAAUCUAGAAGCAUUUCCUGUGGACUAUCGAUGGCCCUGCCUCAUCAUACUCAGCCUUUGCUAUCCACAUCUGCAAGACCAACAUUGUGUAUCAUAGUCAGCUUAAAAACGAGUAACAAGCAGAAUCGACAAUUUUACCUGUUGGAAGGUACUGAGUGAUGCUAGAAUAGAUCCUCCAAUCCAAACACUAUACUUCCUCUCCGGUGGAGCAACCACCUUAAUCUUCAUACUACUCGGAGCCAAAGCAGUAAUCUCCUUACUCAUCCUAUCAGCAAUCCCAGGGAACAUCGUGGUACCACCACUAAGCACAAUGUUUCCAUACAAAUCUUUCCUAAUAUCCACAUCACAUUUCAUGAUCGAAUUGUAAGUCGUCUCGUGGAUACCAGCAGCUUCCAUUCCGACCAAAGACGGCUGGAAAAGAACCUCAGGACACCUGAACCUCUCCCCUCCGAUGGUGAUCACCUGUCCAUCAGGCAACUCGUAGCUCUUGUCGACGGAUGAGCUAGUGUUCGCCGUCUCCAUCUCUUGCUCGUAGUCAAGUGCUAUGUAAGCGAGUUUCUCUUUCACGUCUCUCACGAUCUCACGCUCUGCUGUUGUUGUGAACGAGUAGCCACGCUCGGUUAAAAUCUUCAUGAGGUAGUCAGUGAGGUCACGACCUGCGAGAUCAAGACGCAGAAUGGCGUGUGGAAGAGCAUAUCCUUCGUAGAUUGGAACAGUGUGACUCACACCAUCUCCAGAGUCCAAUACAAUACCUGAAACAAUGAUUCCACAUCAAUAAAAGUGUUCUACCUUUUUUUUUAUCAACAAAAGUGUUCUUCUACCUUAUAAACUCUCUAGAUAAUUAUAACAUAAUAAUAAUAAAUAAUUUAUAAUUAUAAUAAUUAAUAUUUUUUAGUAUAAAAUCUUAUGAGAAUAAACAAUAUAAAUAUUAUUAUUUGUAAAUAUUUAAACUCUUAUAUUAUUAUUUUUUUCCAACCACUACACUCUUAUAUUACAUAUAUUGUUAUAAUUGGUAAACAACUAGGUCGAAGAUAGGCAUUGAGUUACCGUCUCAGCGCUAAAAUGUCUACUAAAAUUAUAUUACAUUACAUUGAGAAAGCUAAGAUGAACAUCAUAAACCAAUGGUGUUUGAAGAUCUUACCAGUAGUACGACCACUGGCGUAGAGGGACAAAACAGCUUGGAUAGCGACAUACAUAGCGGGGGUGUUGAACGUUUCAAACAUAAUCUGAGUCAUUUUCUCACGAUUAGCUUUAGGAUUGAGAGGAGCCUCUGUGAGAAGAACGGGAUGCUCUUCAGGUGCAACACGCAGCUCGUUGUAGAAAGUGUGAUGCCAAAUCUUCUCCAUGUCAUCCCAGUUGCUGACAAUACCAUGCUCAAUAGGGUACUUGAGAGUCAAGAUACCUCUCUUUGACUGAGCCUCGUCACCAACGUAAGCAUCUUUUUGCCCCAUACCAACCAUCACACCAGUGUGACGUGGUCUACCAACAAUGCUUGGGAACACAGCUCUUGGUGCAUCGUCUCCCGCGAAUCCAGCCUUUCAUAUAGAGAUUUGGAGGUAAGAAAAUUAAAAGAUUUUCAGACAGCAUUAUAUUAAACAAAGUUGUUACGUUUAUGAUUGAUUACCUUAACCAUUCCUGUUCCAUUGUCACACACUAGUGGCUGAAUGUCCUCUCCAUCUGCCAUUUUCUAAUGAUUCUGAAACUAUAUAUAUAUAUAUAUAUCCCUCACCCUCUCUCCUACUUCGCCUGGCCUCUCUACUGGGCCUGCCAGGGCUGCGUCCUAACCGGCGUCUGGGUCAUAGCCCACGAGUGCGGCCACCACGCCUUCAGCGACUACCAGUGGCUGGACGACACCGUCGGCCUCAUCUUCCACUCCUUCCUCCUCGUCCCUUACUUCUCCUGGAAGUACAGUCAUCGACGCCACCAUUCCAACACUGGCUCCCUCGAGAGAGACGAAGUGUUUGUCCCCAAGAAGAAGUCAGACAUCAAGUGGUACGGCAAGUACCUCAACAACCCUUUGGGACGCACCGUGAUGUUAACGGUUCAGUUCACUCUCGGCUGGCCGUUGUACUUAGCCUUCAACGUCUCGGGAAGACCUUACGACGGCGGCUUCGCUUGCCAUUUCCACCCCAACGCUCCCAUCUACAACGACCGCGAGCGUCUCCAGAUAUACAUCUCCGACGCUGGCAUCCUCGCCGUCUGCUACGGUCUCUUCCGUUACGCCGCCGCGCAGGGAGUGGCCUCGAUGGUCUGCUUCUACGGAGUCCCGCUUCUGAUUGUCAAUGGUUUCCUCGUGUUGAUCACUUACUUGCAGCACACGCAUCCUUCCCUGCCUCACUACGAUUCGUCCGAGUGGGAUUGGUUGAGGGGAGCUUUGGCUACCGUUGACAGAGACUACGGAAUCUUGAACAAGGUCUUCCACAAUAUUACCGACACGCACGUGGCGCAUCAUCUGUUCUCCACGAUGCCGCAUUAUCACGCGAUGGAAGCUACCAAGGCGAUAAAGCCGAUACUGGGAGAGUAUUAUCAGUUCGAUGGGACGCCGGUGGUUAAGGCGAUGUGGAGGGAGGCGAAGGAGUGUAUCUAUGUGGAACCGGACAGGCAAGGUGAGAAGAAAGGUGUGUUCUGGUACAACAAUAAGUUAUGAGGAUAUGAUGAUGGUGAAAGAACAAAGAAGAUAUUGUCACGAACCUUUCUCUUGCUGUCUCUGGUCGUCUUUGUUUUAAGAAGCUAUGUUUUCGUUUCAAUAAUCUUAACUAUCCAUUUUGUUGUGUUUUCUGACAUUUUGGCUAAGUUAUGUGAUGUGGGACACGUUAGUGUCUAAAAUGUCUCUGUGUCUGUAUUGUUCUUCUCAUCUGUGACUUUCGGACAACUAAACUCUUGUUCUCGAACUACCUCAAUGUGGCAUUAAUGAAAGUGUUAUUGUUGAUUUUAAUCUGAAACUGCUAUUAUUUAGUGAAUUUUUACAUCAGCCAACUUGUUUGUUUA